AAAAAAGGAAAAAGAAGGAAAGUACAAAUGAAUUGCAGUGUAGUCUACUUCAAACGUGCAAAUAGUAUUUUUGCUUUUCUUCUUCUUCCUCCUCAAACCUAAGCAUGUAGAUUAUGCCAUCAAGGAUACUGAACAUUGUUUUCAUGUGUUCCUGGGGAAGUAAGAAACAAUAUUGGGCAACUUAAAUAUCUGAAAAUAUAAUAGAUUUAUAAACGUGCAAAUAAAAUUCCUGAUAAAUUUAGAACUAGAUUUAGAAACUACAGUUUCAUCAUAAUUUGAACAAUACAUUUGCUUUUAGAAAAUUUAAAAUUAUUUUUGAAAUCGAGCUACACUUGGUUGAAGCACAUAAGCUAUGUAUUGUGUGCUCGAAUGGGAUCAAUAAAUUAGGUGUUUGACAUUUUUGUUCUUUAGUUGGCGUUGAAUUGAGUUGCACUUCUUUAAUUAAAUUUAGUUAACCAUAUAACACCAAAAGACAGUAUGUUUUACUGUCAACUUAGUUUACUCUCUCUUGGGUUGUCACUGCGUAAACAUGUUUAUAACCUAUAACAGUGGUAGCCAUUUGUGGGAACUAUAAGUAUGGCUCAUAUUCUUGUUCUAUUAUGGAUUAGAAUUGGAUUGUGUGCAAGAUUGCUUUCACUUUAGUGUUCCACAUAAAUUUCAGGCUUUUGUUUUCCCCAUAUAUGACCAUAUAAUUAUCAUUAUUUUUUCUAAAAUAAUUGAAGAAAUUCUUUUAAAGGUUUGUCAAGAAUGACUCCUUUGCAUUUUACAUAUAUUUCACCUUUUUGUGGCAUUCAACAAUCAUCCAUCAUGAUACUGUAAAGUGCUUGCAUUGCAUAAGAAGGACAAGGGGUUUUGAAACUGUCAAUUGAAUCUAACAAUCUAGGCUACAGUGCGUGCUUUUGUUGCUCCAAGAGAAUAUUUUUACGCUCUAAUCUUUGACGGUAUAGAACCUCCAUAAUGGCCUUCUCAAAAUUGCUAUAAGUUUAAAUUAUGAGGGUCCUUAAUUAGGAGAGAUUCCACAAACAAUUCAUAGCAAGGCUAUUUAUCUAAGCUGAAUUCAAUAAGUAAACCCAUUUGAAAGCGAGUAAUGGAUAGUAGAUACCAUUGGGUCUUGUCUUUUGACAGAAAGUAGACUUGUCAAUAUGAGUGUGUUGAACCUUACGUCCAGAUGGAUACAUGGUUUCGAAGUGCCAACUUGAGACGCAAGUCAGAAAUGAGGAACAUUACAAUUUUUUUCUUUUGCAAUUCAUUAGAAUAUUUAUCAUAUAAAUAUACAUUGUUUUCUUCUCGGAUUGCUUUAUCACCAUUGAUUUUUGUUUUUCUUUAUCCUUGCUUUUCCGUAUAUGAUUGUUAUGCUACUUCUUGCCCUAUAUAUUUUUUCACAGUAAAACAAUGCAAAUAAUUAGUAGUCAGUGGUCAAGUGGAGUGGGGAGGGGGUGAGUGCCAUACUCGGGCAAGGAAAACCUGCGAGAUGGGGGAAAUACCCCCAUUGCCUCUGCCCCUCUCCCACUUACCCUGAUGUAAUCAAUGAUUUCACCACUAGGAUAAGUGCCUAGAACAUUUUUUCCCCAUAUGUUUGAAGUAUACUAAAACUGCAAAUUUUGAAUUUCAGGUGCUGCUAGCAAAUAGUAAUCAGCUUGGUGAUCAUUAUGCCUCCAAACAUCCAAAAGAAAAGCCUCCUGAAUCAAGUUGAUCUAUUUCUCUCUUGUAAAAAUGCGAAAAUAAUAAAAAUAAAAAGAAAGAAAAAGCUUUCCGUGUGUGAUCAUUAACCAUUAAAUGUAUGUCAACUGAUGGAUGUGACUAUUUCAUUAUCUGGACUAAGUAAUUGACUAUGCAUUGUAUGGUUUUCCUCUGGAUGAGCUUUUGCAUGGUUUUGGAGGUGUAUAAAGUUCAUGAUCUGCAACUAUAUUUAAUAUUAGAAUAUAUG
rnacentral:misc_RNA from 1 species